GUUAAAAACAUGCAGUGCCUCAUUUGAGAAUCUUUUGGUACAAUAAUUUAAAACCUAGCAAUGCCUCUUUCGAGAAUCUUUUUGUAAAAUAGUUUAAAAACAUGCAGUGCCUCUUUCGAGAAUCUUUUAAUAAAAUCGGUUAAAAUCAUGCAGUGCCUCAUUUGAGAAUCUUUUGGUAAAAUCGGUUAAAAUCAUGCAGUGCCUCAUUUGAGAAGCUUUUGGUAAAAUAAUUUAAAACCUAGCAGUGCCUCAUUUGAGAAUCUUUUGGUAAAAUAGUUUAAAAACAUGCAGUGCCUCUUUCGAGAAUCUUUAAAUAAAAUCGGUUAAAAUCAUGCAGUGCCUCAUUUGAGAAUCUUUUGGUAAAAUCGGUUAAAAUCAUGCAGUGCCUCAUUUGAGAAUCUAUUGUUAACAUAAUUUAAAAACAUGC
rnacentral:lncRNA from 1 species